rnacentral:rRNA from 1 species
UACGGAGGAUCCGAGCGUUAUCCGGAUUUAUUGGGUUUAAAGGGCGCGCAGGCGGGAUGUUAAGUCGGCGGUGAAAUUUUGCAGCUCAACUGUAAAAGUGCCUUCGAUACUGGCCUCCUUGAGUGUGGAUGAAGUAGGCGGAAUUUGUGGUGUAGCGGUGAAAUGCUUAGGUAUCACGAGGAACUCCGAUUGCGCAGGCAGCUUACUAAGCCACAACUGACGCUCAUGCACGAAGGCGUGGGGAUCAAACAGG